rnacentral:rRNA from 1 species
UACGGAGGGGGCCAGCGUUGUUCGGAAUUAUUGGGCGUAAAGGGCGCGUAGGCGGCCACCGCAAGUCGACUGUGAAAUCUCCGGGCUUAACCCGGAAAGGUCAGCCGAUACUGCGGGGCUAGAGUGCAGAAGGGGCAACUGGAAUUCUCGGUGUAGCGGUGAAAUGCGUAGAUAUCGAGAGGAACACCUGCGGCGAAGGCGGGUUGCUGGGCUGACACUGACGCUGAGGCGCGAAAGCUAGGGGAGCGAACGGG